CCGCUUCGGUGGGACCCUAGUGGCGCACGGGUGAGUAACGCGUGGGAACCUGCCCUGUGGUACGGAAUAACUCCGGGAAACUGGAGCUAAUACCGUAUGUGUCUUGAGGGACAAAGAUUUAUCGCCAUGGGAUGGGCCCGCGUAGGAUUAGCUUGUUGGUGGGGUAACGGCCUACCAAGGCUACGAUCCUUAGCUGGUCUGAGAGGAUGAUCAGCCACACUGGGACUGAGACACGGCCCAGACUCCUACGGGAGGCAGCAGUGGGGAAUAUUGGACAAUGGGCGCAAGCCUGAUCCAGCAAUGCCGCGUGAGUGAUGAAGGCCUUCGGGUUGUAAAGCUCUUUCGCACGCGACGAUGAUGACGGUAGCGUGAGAAGAAGCCCCGGCUAACUUCGUGCCAGCAGCCGCGGUAAUACGAAGGGGGCUAGCGUUGUUCGGAAUUACUGGGCGUAAAGGGCGCGUAGGCGGUACUUCAAGUCAGGCGUGAAAGCCCCGGGCUCAACCUGGGAACCGCGCUUGAGACUGGAGAACUAGAGUUCGGGAGAGGAUGGUGGAAUUCCCAGUGUAGAGGUGAAAUUCGUAGAUAUUGGGAAGAACACCGAUGGCGAAGGCAGCCAUCUGGACCGACACUGACGCUGAGGCGCGAAAGCGUGGGGAGCAAACAGGAUUA
rnacentral:rRNA from 1 species